AGCGAACGCUGGCGGCGGGCCUAACACAUGCAAGUCGAACGGAUCCUUCGGGAUUAGUGGCGGACGGGUGAGUAACACGUGGGAACGUGCCCUUUGGUUCGGAACAACUCAGGGAAACUUGAGCUAAUACCGGAUGUGCCCUUCGGGGGAAAGAUUUAUCGCCAUUGGAGCGGCCCGCGUCUGAUUAGCUAGUUGGUGAGGUAAAGGCUCACCAAGGCGACGAUCAGUAGCUGGUCUGAGAGGAUGAUCAGCCACAUUGGGACUGAGACACGGCCCAAACUCCUACGGGUGGCAGCAGUGGGGAAUCUUGCGCAAUGGGCGAAAGCCUGACGCAGCCAUGCCGCGUGAAUGAUGAAGGUCUUAGGAUUGUAAAAUUCUUUCACCGGGGACGAUAAUGACGGUACCCGGAGAAGAAGCCCCGGCUAACUUCGUGCCAGCAGCCGCGGUAAAAC
rnacentral:rRNA from 1 species